rnacentral:rRNA from 1 species
UUGAUUCUGGCUCAAGACGAACGCUGGCGGCGUGCUUAACACAUGCAAGUCGAACGGAGAACUUAUUUCGGUAAGUUCUUAGUGGCGAACGGGUGAGUAACGCGUGGGCAACCUGCCCUCCAGUUGGGGACAACAUUCCGAAAGGGAUGCUAAUACCGAAUGUGCUCCCUCCUCCGCAUGGAGGAGGGAGGAAAGAUGGCCUCUGCUUGCAAGCUAUCGCUGGAAGAUGGGCCCGCGUCUGAUUAGCUAGUUGGUGGGGUAACGGCUCACCAAGGCGAUGAUCAGUAGCCGGUCUGAGAGGAUGAACGGCCACAUUGGGACUGAGACACGGCCCAAACUCCUACGGGAGGCAGCAGUGGGGAAUCUUCCGCAAUGGACGAAAGUCUGACGGAGCAACGCCGCGUGAGUGAUGAAGGUCUUCGGAUUGUAAAACUCUGUUGUUAGGGACGAAAGCACCGUGUUCGAACAGGUCAUGGUGUUGACGGUACCUAACGAGGAAGCCACGGCUAACUACGUGCCAGCAGCCGCGGUAAUACGUAGGUGGCAAGCGUUGUCCGGAAUUAUUGGGCGUAAAGAGCAUGUAGGCGGGCUUUUAAGUCUGACGUGAAAAUGCGGGGCUUAACCCCGUAUGGCGUUGGAUACUGGAAGUCUUGAGUGCAGGAGAGGAAAGGGGAAUUCCCAGUGUAGCGGUGAAAUGCGUAGAUAUUGGGAGGAACACCAGUGGCGAAGGCGCCUUUCUGGACUGUGUCUGACGCUGAGAUGCGAAAGCCAGGGUAGCAAACGGGAUUAGAUACCCCGGUAGUCCUGGCCGUAAACGAUGGAUACUAGGUGUAGGAGGUAUCGACCCCUUCUGUGCCGGAGU